rnacentral:miRNA from 1 species
AUGUGUGGGGCAUGUAUGUGUGUAUGUUUAUGUAUGCAUAUAGAUACACACACACACACACACACACACACACACACACACACACACACAC